rnacentral:rRNA from 1 species
CAGAGGUCUCAACCGUUGUUCGGAUUCAUUGGGCGUAAAGGGUGCGUAGGCGGUCGUGCAAGUCGGAUGUGAAAUCUCAGGGCUCAACCCUGAAACUGCAUUCGAUACUGCGCGGCUAGAGUGCUGGAGGGGAGACUGGAAUUUACGGUGUAGCAGUGAAAUGCGUAGAUAUCGUAAGGAAGACCAGUGGCGAAGGCGAGUCUCUGGACAGCAACUGACGCUGAGGCACGAAGGCCAGGGGAGCAAACGGGAUUAGAUACCCCGGUAGUCCUGGCAGUAAACGGUGCACGUUUGGUGUAAGCGGAUUCGACCCCGCUUGUGCCGGAGCUAACGCGUUAAACGUGCCGCCUGGGAAGUACGGUCGCAAGAUUA